CCUACGGGUGGCAGCAGUGGGGAAUAUUGCACAAUGGGGGAAACCCUGAUGCAGCGACGCCGCGUGAGUGAAGAAGGAAUUCGUUAUGUAAAGCUCUAUCAGCAGGGAAGAAAAUGACGGUACCUGAGUAAGAAGCCCCGGCUCACUACGUGCCAGCAGCCGCGGUAAUACGUCGGGGGCAAGCGUUAUCCGGAUUGACUGGGGGUAAAGGGAGGGUAGACUGCAGUGGACGUAUGGAGUGACGUGCGGGGGCUCAACCCCCGGACGGCGCUGGAAACUGUACGGCUGGAGUGCAGGAGAGGUAAGUGGAAUUCCUAGUGUAGCGGUGAAAUGCGUAGAUAUUAGGAGGAACACCAGUGGCGAAGGCGGCUUACUGGACUGUAACUGACGUUGAGGCUCGAAAGCGUGGGGAGCAAACAGGAUUAGAUACCCCAGUAGUC
rnacentral:rRNA from 1 species